AGAUAAAAAAAAUGAGGCGAAUAAUGUUUUAGAAAGAAAAAAAAUGUAAAAACAAUAAAAAAAAAAGAACACAAGACACGGACCAAAAAUAUCCCGUAAACUAAUUACAGUUGGUUUCUACCCUCUCUUUCUCUCUGACGAGAGGAACAAGACACGAUUAUGUGUCUUCGCCGGUGAAAUCGAGCUUCCCUUCCCUUCCGGUGUAACCUCUUCGUCUGUCCCUUUCUCUCAGUCGCUACGCCUCUCCGCCUCUCAGCCUCUGUAUCUAUGCCUCUCUCUUUCUCCAACAUCCCUAGAAGCAAGCCGUGAGAUAAAACUGAGAAACAUAAUAGCUCUUGAGCAGUGCCAUUACCCUAAACACAACCACGUCUGUAGCUACGCCUUAUUCCUAGAUUAUCUAAUUGACACUGAUAAAGACGUUGACUUGCUUCUCGAGAAAGGAAUACUAAAAAGUUGGAUUUGGCAACCCGCUAAAGUUGCGCAGAUGGUGAACAAGCUCGUGACAGUCAUCCUAGAUCCUGGUUCUUACUAUUAUGAUAUAGCGGGUGAAGUCAACAAGUCCUCAAGCGUGUGUAUUUCGGUAACCCGUGGACAGGGACAGCCACCAUCGGCGCUACGUUUCUAUUGGCGAUGACACUUAUCCAGACUUAGGCAUGGACUGUUCAGGUUAAGUAGAAUGAACGUUAGAGAUGCCGUUGCAUCUCUAUCUCUAGUUGGUUUGCAGUUUAACUGGAACUUCCUUAAUUUUCGGAAAACCAGUUUUUUUAACUGAAACUUCCUUAAUUUUCGUAAAACCAGUUUUUUAAUCCGUAGAAGACACCUUCUGCACCGUGUAGAAUCAUAAUAAAAAUCAUGAAUACAAUUUCUACUUCUUGUAGACGUUUGUGUUAAGUUUAGAUUUCGCAUACCCGAAAUUUUAGAAUACUUCAUAAAAGUAGAAACUGUAUUCAAGAUAAAAGUAGAAAUCUUUACAAUUAAUAGAAUUUGCAUUCCUCAUAUUUAGAAUUUUAAUCACAAGUAGAUUGUUUUUUCUAAAAAAAGUAGAUGAACUUGUUUGUUCUGGAAUUCGUUUUCUACUUACCCAUUUUCUGUAGAAGACGAAUUCUACUUUUAGUAGAACGUAAUUUUAAAAUUUUAUUUAUCAAUUUUUUCAACCAAAAAAAAUAUGUG